rnacentral:lncRNA from 1 species
GGCCGGCCAAACCAAGAACAAAGGAAGAAAAGAAAGAACAAAAACCCUAGAGUGAAAAUUCAAGAGAAAAUUGAUGGAUUUCAAGUAAUCAAGCAAUCAAAGGUAAAAUUUUUUGAUUUUGACUUGUGAUCUACCUUUCCCAUACAUUCUUUUGCAUUUUUCAUGGUUGAAUCACAUCAUUUCAUGAUGGGUAUCUUGCUGGCCUAACACUUAGGGAGAGAUUUUGAUGGUUGUUUUGGUUAGAUUUUAAGAUAUUCUAGUGUUUUUAGUUGAUUGGUGAUGUGUAGCAUGAAAAUCAAGCAAGAAAAAUUCAUGUUCUUCCAUAACCCAUCAUUGGCCAAAUUCUCCAUGUGGAAUAUUGAUGAUGAUUUUGAUUUUAUUUCAAGUGAUUUGGUUAGGAAUUAGUGCUUAUGGUGUGAGAAUCAAGCUGGAAAAAUUAUAUUGUUAGUGCACCCACCAUGGUCGAAUUUUCCAAGAGAAAAUGUGAGGAUGAUUUUGCCAUAUUUCAAGUUAUUUAAUAUGUGUUUGAUGAUUUGGAGUAUUGGGAGAAAAAUGGAAUUAUUUGGAGUUGAAUUGGACGUAUUGGCCAAUUAAUCGGGUGAUAGAUCGAAUUAGGCCAAUACCAUUUUAUUUAGUUACAUAAUUGAAUUUAUAUUGAACACCGUAUUUAGAUGGUUACCCGAGCAUUUCACAUCCCAUUUCAUGCAUUAGUAAAGAGCCUGAAAUAGAUUUAUAAUGGUAUGACACAGUAUGUUGAAUUAUGUGUCGUGUAUUGUAUAUAGGUGGUGGCCCUCUAACAAAGGUAAAGACGUUGUGUCAAAGGACUGAGAAUAGGAGUAUUUCAAACUCCUGAUACAGUGAGUAACCUUAUCAUCAUCUUGAUUAUCUGAAGUG